rnacentral:lncRNA from 1 species
GCUGUUACUAUGAUCUUUGACUCCUGAUCUCGAAUCGGAAGUACGAUACUACCACUUUAGUGGCAUUGAUUAAGGGGACGAACUAGUCUAAGAUCUCCCAGAUGACAACAGUACAGAGCUGUUGCCGGUGGCGGCACUGGAGGUGGCCAUGGCAAAGGGCCGAGGAGAAGUUAGUGCUUCCACUGAGGAGGCUGACACAAAUGUUUGUGUGCAGCUUGGCACGGUGCAAAGAGGGAACGGCGGUACUGACGGAUGGUGGCAUGAGCAUGGUGGGUGGACGAUUAGCGUGCCAAAGGUGGAG